rnacentral:rRNA from 1 species
UACGUAGGGUGCAAGCGUUGUCCGGAAUUAUUGGGCGUAAAGGGCUCGUAGGCGGUCUGUCACGUCGGGAGUGAAAACUCAGGGCUUAACCCUGAGCCUGCUUCCGAUACGGGCAGACUAGAGGUAUGCAGGGGAGAACGGAAUUCCUGGUGUAGCGGUGAAAUGCGCAGAUAUCAGGAGGAACACCGGUGGCGAAGGCGGGUCUCUGGGCAGUAACUGACGCUGAGGAGCGAAAGCGUGGGGAGCGAACAGG